CGCGGAGUGGUCUGGAGGUGGUUCCAGCUCUGUCUCAUAAGCAGAAUAACGUGGGUUCGAGUCCCACCUCCGCAA
rnacentral:tRNA from 1 species